UGUGUGGCUGGCACACAGGCGCAGUGUGCACGCUAUGUACUCGGCAUGCCAACUCAGCCUCGGCACUGCAAUGCAGCGCUGUGCAUUUGGCCAAGUCAUGCCACACUCUCACACACCCACACAACACACACACACACACGUGCACUGAUCUGUGUGAGACAACAUGUGUUGUGUGUGUGUGUGUGUUCGGAGUGUGUUUCCGGUUGAUUGUCAACCUUGCAGUGUUUGGGUCUCUGCAGCGGCGAGCUGCGAUGUCUCUCAGCCUCUGCAGGGCAGUUAGCCGCAUUAGCUCCCUGCUUGUCCUCAGAUGACUCCUCCUCCUCCUCCUCUUCCUCCUCGGCUGUCUGCUGUAUCCCUGCCUCCCCCCUCCUCCUCCUCCCCUCCUGUGACACACCAGACGAUGCAUUGACUGAGCGGAGGAGAAGAAGAAAACCUCUCCCAGCCUGCCAGCCGUCCUGCCUGCUGCAUGGAGACGGAGAGGAGGAAGAGGAGCAGAAGGAGAACGUUGACCAGAACUCUGCAGGACCAGCUUGUGUACAGUUCUUCAUAGGAUCCUCCUGGAUCCCGCCAGACCUGCUGCCAGCUCCUGAACCACCUGAACCUCCCUUGGCUCCUCAACCACCUGAACCUCCCUUGGCUCCUGAACCACCUGAACCUCCCUUGGCUCCUCAACCACCUGAACCUCCCUCGGCUCCUGAACCUCCUGAA